AAGUUAAAUUUUAUUAAGUUUUUAAUUAAAAUUUAUUUUAAGUUAAGUAUAAAAAUUUUAUUAUUUAUAAAGAAAAAAUUAGAUAUUAUUAUAGUGAAUUGUAUUGUGAAAGAAAAUAGAUUUUAUUUUUAAGAAAAAUUAAGUUUUUGUACCUUGUGUAUCAGGGUUUAUUUAAAAUUUUUAUAUAUUUUAUAAUCUCGAAUUUAAAAGGGCUAAAUAAUUAAAAUUUUUAUUGUAAAAUAAAUAUUUUUUAUUAUUAUUUUGUAAUGAAAUGUUAUACGUUUUUAAAUAUAUCUAGUUUUUUAAGAAAAAAAUUUAAUUUAUCUAUUAUAUUAAUAUAUUUAUUUAUUUUUAUAUUUAUAUUAUUAAUAUUAAAUAUUUUUAGGGAUUAGCUUAAAAAUAUAUUUUUAUUAGUUAUUAUGAUUUUAAAUAAAUUUAGGAUUAGAAAUUUUCACAUUUUAAAGUAUGUUAUUAUUUAUUUUUAUUUUUAAACUUUAUAUUAACUAUAAUUUUUUUAUUAAAAUAUUAAUUAAAAUUUUAUUUAUUAAGUAAUAAUGAUAAAAUUAGUAUAAGUAUAAUUGUUAAAAUAUAAAUUAAUUGUAAGGUUAAUUGAAGGAAUUUGGCAAAUAAUUUUUCACCUGUUUAUUAAAAACAUGUCUUUUUGUUUUAAAUUUAAAGUCUAGCCUGCCCGUUGAAAUAUUUAAAUGGCCGCGAUAUUUUGAUCGUGCUAAGGUAGCAUAAUCAUUAGUUUUUUAAUUGAAAGCUGGAAUGAAGGGUUGGAUGAAAAAAUAACUGUCUAUAUUUAAUUUUAUUAAAAUUUUAUUUUUAAGUUAAAAAGCUUAAAUUUUAUUAAAAGACGAGAAGACCCUAUAGAGUUUUAUAAAUUUGUUUAAUUUUUUAUUUAGUAUUAAGUUUUUAAUUUUUUAGAUUUAUUUUGUUGGGGUGAUUAAAAAAUUUAAUUAACUUUUUUUAUAUAAUUAUAUUAAUUUAUAAAUUUUUGAUCCAAUAUUUUUGAUUAUAAGUUAAAAUUACCUUAGGGAUAACAGCGUUAUUUUAUUAGAGAGUUCUUAUCGAUAAUAAAGAUUGCGACCUCGAUGUUGGAUUAAAAUGUAUAUUUGGUGUAGAAGCUAAAUUAUUAAGUCUGUUCGACUUUUAAAAUUUUACAUGAUCUGAGUUUAAACCGGUGUGAGCCAGGUUGGUUUCUAUCUUUAAUUUGUUAAUAUAUUUUAGUACGAAAGGACCAAAUAUAUAAAAAAUUUUUUAUUUUUGAUACAUAUU
rnacentral:rRNA from 1 species